UCUUUUCAGCUUUUGUAUUAUUUUUUUCUGAGUCCCAUGAACAAAUGAUAGAAUAUUAUGACACGUGGAAAUUCAAGAACAUAGAUAUAUCCUAUACUUCUAUGAAUAGAGCCAUUUAAGGAAUUUGUGCAUUUGCUUGUUUCGUUUGUGUCGUACAGAUCAUGCCAAAAGAAAGAAGCGAUAGCCUUAACAUACCUGAGCCGAUUCUUUUGACAAUCCAUUGAACACAAGCCAAUUGCGACAACAUAUAAGAACAAAACCGUAGUAGAAAAAAAUUCAUAUGAUAUUCUUGAGAAAUAUUACUCCAAACUUCCUUAGAAUCGCCAAAUCUCAUUGCUACUAUACAGUAUAAUGUCGUAUGAAUUUUUUUUUAAUUAAAACUGUUACCUUGCUGAAGGUUUAAUCCAUCUCCCUUAAUGAAUUUGAUCACAAUAUUGUAUAUAUUUUCUUGCUGAAGCUAUCCAUCACUGUGAAGACGUAAAAUAUCUUCAUUUUUGUAAAUGAAAGAAGUGUUGUGAUGCCAU
rnacentral:lncRNA from 1 species